rnacentral:rRNA from 1 species
UACGUAGGGUGCAAGCGUUAUCCGGAAUUAUUGGGCGUAAGGAGCUCGUAGGCGGUUUGUCGCGUCUGGUGUGAAAGUCCAUCGCUUAACGGUGGAUCUGCGCCGGGUACGGGCAGGCUAGAGUAUAGUAGGGGAGACUGGAAUUCCCGGUGUAACGGUGGAAUGUGUAGAUAUCGGGAAGAACACCAAUGGCGAAGGCAGGUCUCUAGGCUAUUACUGACGCUGAGGAGCGAAAGCGUGGGUAGCAAAC